rnacentral:rRNA from 7 species
CAACUUUCAACAACGGAUCUCUUGGCUCUCGCAUCGAUGAAGAACGCAGCGAAAUGCGAUAAGUAAUGUGAAUUGCAGAAUUCAGUGAAUCAUCGAAUCUUUGAACGCACCUUGCGCUCCUUGGUAUUCCGAGGAGCAUGCCUGUUUGAGUGUCAUAA